GGAUCAUUGUCGAAACCUGCAACGCAGAAGGACCCGCGAAUCGGUGAGAACUAAUGCGGGCGGCGGGCCGUGGAGCCGGACGCCCGAAGUCCSCGGGGAAGGUUGUGCGGAAACCCCGCAUCCCCUGUCUCGCGGGCACAAACAACAAACAAACSCGGGCGCGAAUUGCGCCGAGGAAGCAGUAAUAAGAUGCGGGCUCCCACUGUCCCGGAAACGGCGCCUUUGGGGGCCGCGUUGUCGUUAUCGCAUGUGAAACGACUCUCGGCAACGGAUAUCUCGGCCCUCGCAUCGAUGAAGAACGUAGCGAAAUGCGAUACUUGGUGUGAAUUGCAGAAUCCCGCGAACCAUCGAGUUUUUGAACGCAAGUUGCGCCCGAAGCCGUCAGGCCGAGGGCACGCCUGCUUGGGUGUCUCGCAAAGUGGCAAAAUAUGCCCCUCGGCCCUUCUAGCGGGGGCGAACGAGGGACGGCGGAUAUUGGGCUCCCGUGCGCUUUUGCUCGCGGUUGUCCCAAAAAGGAAGUCCCCCGGCGCGGUAGCCACGACGUGCGGUGGUAGGCAGCACGCCCCCUCUGGACAAGCGUCGUGGGCGAGCCUCGUCGACGGGUAGCGGAGGAACCCGACGCAGAGCGUCUUUCGUAAAGCGACCCC
rnacentral:rRNA from 1 species